rnacentral:lncRNA from 1 species
AAAAAUCUGGUAAGUACAACACAAGACAAUAUCAUUUAGAAAUUGGUUUCAAAUUGUCAAAAUUCUAAGAGAGAGUAUUUGAAUCCAAAAAUAAAUUUCAUGUUUGUCUUAGUUCUUAAAGAUACAAAAAAUAAUUGGGUGAAAAAGAAGACAAUUAGUAGAAGGAAAAAAAUGCAAGAGUUUAGAAAAGGAAAUUAGAUUUUUGUUAUAAGUUGGUUUGUUUUAUAUAUAUAUAUAUAUAUAUAUAUGUCUACGAUAUAAGAAUCUUUUAAUAAAGUAUAUAAACAUUGAAACUAAAAUUAUCAAUAAAGGAAUGAAAACCUGUCAGAUUCUCUAAGUUAUUAUCAAAAUGAAUAAAACAAGAAGGUUUGUGUUUCAGAAAAAAAAAAGAAAAAGAAAGCAAACUCAAGAAUCGAACAUGAAGUGCUGAACCGUAAUGAAAAGCAGUGAAGCAUUAACCACUGGACCAAGGAGAAAUAUAUGUUUGUGAUUUGGCGCCCCUGAUAUAAAUACAAAGUUUGGUGCCUAAAGCCCAAGCUUUGCGGGCUUUAGCCCAGGGCCGGCUCUGGUUGUCAGUAAUACAUCUAUCAACCUAUUGAGAAACCUAAAUCUAACAGUAAGGACUACUCAGACAUAUUCAUGGAACACAUAGUUAUGAUGGUUUGAAUAAUACUUAAAUAAAAUGAGUAAUUAGAGUAAGCAACAAAAUGAAUGAAAGCAAGGGAGUUCAAGAUCUUCUCUGUUUUGAAGUGUUAAUCUAUCUCUCCAAUUCUAAGCUUUCCCCUUUCAAUGGUGGCUUCUUGCUUCCUCCAAACUAGGUCUAAAAAGGUCUCUAGGCAAGUCUGCC